GAUAAACUCACUUUUCCAAAAUUGGUCAAGCAGAUCAUUUCUGCACUAUUUAGCCAACAGUCAAGGUUGAAAUCACCUUUGCUGAUAUGUGAGUCAACUAUUUUACUAAAUCAGUUUAAUUGGUUGUUUAAAAAUAAAAAGGAUUAGCCAGGCCCAGUGUCUAUGCUUCUGAUUUGAGCAAUGUGGAUACUGAGGCAGGAAGGGAGCUCAAGGCCAGCCCAGGCCUGAGGAUGCAGAUUAGCGCUCUGCAGGCUCAAACACUAGGGCCUUAGCAAGCCAAACAAGACAAAAACGGUCACCGUCACCCAGAAUAGAAGUACACAAAAUAACCCAAAACACCUGUGAAACUUAGAAUUUAGGGACAGAUCUUUAUAGGCCCAGAGGCACAUGUUGGUGUCGUGGCUGUGACCCCUCAAAGCCUCACACAGUCACAGGUGGGGCUUUCCAGAGGUGGCUGGGUCCAGAGUGUGUGUGCUGCUGGGAUCAGGGAGGUAUGAUUACUACCUCAGUCCACGGAUUGGUUCUGCUUAGUUCCAGUUAGGGUUAGAGUGUGAGUGCUGCACGCUGGGAGCCUGCAUGACAUGGAGGGGACAGAAGGAGGGUGAAUGUGCUCUCCCCUGCCUGCCUGCCAUGGCAGAUUCUCCUCUGUGAGGCCCCUCUGCUGCGCCACCCUGCCUGGGAGCUGGUGGCCGUGGACUGAAGCCUUUGCACACUGGGAGCCAAAGAAACCUUUUCUCCCUUAACUUGGAGGUGCUGGGUAUUUUGUCUCAGCACAAGAGAAGUAACUGAACAGAUGGUAAUCACACUGAUGGCCCUGGGAUGGGUGGUUUGGAGAACUGGCUGGAGACCACAGGCUGCCCUCUGAAUGGAGCAGAGGCAGAGGUGUGCAGGGAUUGCGGGACAGAUUUUUUUAAAAAAAGACAAUAAAAUAGACAAGGGGAAGGAAGGGAAGAUACAAGGGAUGGAAAGCAAAAAGGGAGGAAAAGAGAGGGAGAGAGGAAGCAAACACGCAGACUGUCCAAAACACUUUGAAAGUUAAAACAAUGAAAAAAAUUAAGAUAAUUCUCGGGAUGGGGCUGUAGCUGGGUUACUGGCACCUGGCGGGGUUCAAUCCUCACUGCUGCAGAAAAGCCACAGAGGUUGGUCAGCAGAGCAGGAACUGUACCCAGGCCCUGAGCUGCUGGAAUGGACGUCGCAGGGUUGGCACCUUGUUAUAUCUUGUGUCUGGAUGUCUCCCCCAAAGCCUCAUGUGGUCAUGGGGGGCAGGCUUUUCAGAGGUAGCUGAAUGUAGGGAGCAGUGUGACUGUCCUGCUGCUGUCUCCCCACCUCUCCCUCCUAUGGGCACAUAGUACGCCUGCCUACAUUAACCAUAAUCCUCUCCUACUUACGUCACGUACAGGGACGUGACGAUGACCCAUCAGAGAUCACCCCAUAGCCUCUUCCUGUCCCAUCGGCCCGCCCCCUGCCCUAUAAAAGCAGCGACCACUUUAUUAAGAAAUGAGACUUGAUCGGACUCCCUCGACUUGUCUGUGUCUCUCUGUCUCGGGCCCUGUCUGUGUUAAUCCCCGUUCCUUCUCCAGGAAACUGCCCCGCAGAUCUGGAUUGACCUGCAGGCCGGGUCAAGUGGCGCCCGUCAUGGGGCUCCUGGCACGAAGGGCUCAGCGAGGGAGCCGUCCUGAGACGCGAGCGUAAGAAGGGAACUAAGAGUUUUGUGACCAACGCUGCUGGGGAGCCUGCCGCGCCGCUCGAGUCACGAGGGCUCUAUUGAUGCAAAAGAUGGGAAAGAGUACGGCCUUUUCUGCUGGAACCUAAUCUCAGAGCUACUCACACAGCGCUGCCGAGACCCUCAAACUGAGAAAACAAUCACCCAAGGUGAAGCCUUUACGCACUUCCGCUUCGCCAACAUCGCUCCCUUCAGGAGACGAAUCUAAACCUUCUUGCCCCUCUGAUGAGUCAAAUGAUAUGUUAAAGCCCCAAGAGGCGGCCCGCUGCCAUCCGAGCCCCUACCACCCGAGGCCCGCCACAACUCUCUAUCUAAAAUGGCGCUUGCCUCACUUCCGCCACAUCAGGGUGGGCCCCUCCCCGAAAUGGUGUUUCCGGUGAUGGAAACAAAGGUACCUCCCCAAGAUGGCACCACACAGCUGCAAGACGGCGUGGGCGCUGUGCCGCUAGCUCCACAAGUCAUUAGGACCCAUAGGCCAUUCACAGCGGCAGCUUUAAAAGAAUUAAAGAUAGCAGUUGCCCAAUAUGGCCCUACAGCUGCUUUCACUCUUGCUGUUUUAAAUUCUCUGGCUGACGGCUGGCUCACACCUACAGAUUGGCAAAGAUUGGCCUGAGUGACUUUAUCGGGUGGGGAUAAUCUUUUGUGAAAAUCAGAAUAUACAAAAAAUUGCAAAGAGACUGCCAGGCACAAUACUCAAGCCAGCAAUGGGUAGGACCUUAAUAUGUUAAUAGUGGAAGAUGCCUAUGCAUGUAGAGAAGCUCAAAAGGAGUUUAAUCCAGCACUUUUCACUCAAAUUCAAACAGCAGCUACUCGAGCAUACAGAAAGAUGCCUGCAAAAGAUAAUAUGAGCUCCUCUCUCACUAGCAUUAAGCAAGGCCCAGAUGAACCCUUUUCAGAAUUUGUUGAUCGUUUGAUUACUGCUGCUAACAGAAUCUUUGGCCACGCUCUGCAGGCACUGAUUUUAUUAAACAGCUAGCUUUCGAAAAUGCCAACACCGCCUGCCAGGCCACUAUCAGACCUCAUAAAAAUAAAACAGACCUAAUAGGAUAUAUACACCUUUGCUGUGACAUUGGAACUGCUUGUCAGCAAGGCUUUGCUAUGGCUGCUGCCUUGCAAGGGUUUACAGUUAAACAGUUCUUAUCUCAAAAGCAUAAACAAAACAGUUUUACCUGUAGAGAGACUGGUCAUUUUACAAAAAAGACUCCAGGGAUAGAGAUUCCAAUGUGAAUUACUUUGACUCAUUUAACUGAUCAGAGUGAUAUUGUUCUGGUCUUUUGAGUUUAAUUUCAGCAUAUAUAAGGAUGGAGACAGCUGCUGAGAAAAAAAUGAGAGAUACCACGUUGUUUGUUACUGUCUUCCCCAAUGUCAGAUCUUCAAAACCUGAGGAGCCUUCAUCAUCGUGUGGUGGUUUGACUAGGUCUAUAAUAUGCAGUGUGUAUUUAAUGUGCAUAAAGAGGGGGACACCUAAAAAUAUUCUAUCUCAUGCCUUAUUCACCCUUAAUUUUUAAAAUUUUGAUGCUUCUGGACACUCAAUAGCCAUGCAUUUUUGGCAUACGGAAACACAAAAGCAAUUUGCUUCUGUACUAUGGAGAGACCCCCUGACUAACUUAUGGUAGGGCCUUGACCCCGUUCUCAUAUGGGGACGCGGUUCAGUGUGCAUAUACUCCUGCCAAGACAAAGAGGCUACAUGGCUCCCCAAAUGCCUUGUUAGGCAAAUUAAUGAGCCAAAUAAUAAUAACCCCCAAAAUGCCCAGGAGUGAACACAUACCCUGAGGCAACUUCUUGUGCUUCCUUACAGAAAAUGCCAAACCGAUGGAUUACUUGGUGCCUUCUUGAGAUCCUACUUGGACCACCCUUGACCAAUGGUGGAUUUGGACCUCCCAUCACAAAUGGCCUCUAACCCCUUCUCCAUGCUCUGGGGAGCGCUCUUCCCCUACCUAGCGCCCCUCCUGGGGCCCCUAGCUGCCCUGUUGCUUCUCCUCCCUGUGGGUCCUUGUAUUUUUCAGAGGAUUAUGGCGAUCAUUCAUAACCAGAUAGAGGCGUUUAUGACAAAGCCCUUUGAGCUAUACUAUCACUAGCUAGAGAUGGCAAAUUAAGAAACCUACAGGGAACAAGUGGCCCGUAUGAUGAUGUGGCCUAACUGCCCCAAGGCAAUGGACAGGCAGCCAGAGACGGGCAACUAGGACAUACAUAUUACACCACCAGCCACCUAACACAGGCACAGGACCAACUGCUGCCCUGCAAGCCCAUGACGGGUAAGGCCCGGUUGGGUUCAUGUAAUGAGGUCCUUGACCUAAGAGAGAUGCUGUCCUCACAGAGCCUGCCAUACUCCUGAUUAAAAAAUAUAGAAAGGGAGGAGAUGUAGGGAGCGGUGCGACAGCCCCGCUCCUGUUUCUCCACCUCUCCCUCCUAUGGGCACAUAGUGCGCCUGCCUACAUUAACCAUAAUCCUCUCCUACUUAUGUCACAUACAGGGACGUGACGAUGACCCUUCAGAGAUCACCCCAUAGCCUCUUCUUGUCCCAUCGGCCCACCCUUGCCCUAUAAAAGCAGCGACCACUUUAUUAAUAAAUGAGACUUGAUUGGA